rnacentral:rRNA from 1 species
UUCAACAGGGGUGAAAUCUGUAUACACCAUGAAUUUUUUGAUUAAAGUACCUUUUAGGUGGUCAAAUGACUAGGAUUAGAUACCCUAUUAGUCCACUCUUAAUUAACCUGGGUAGUAGUAUUGAAACCUAAAGAAUUUGGCGGUUUCUAAACCUACUAGAGGAACCUGCCCCAUAAACGACAAUCCACGAAAAAAUUCACCCGGGCUAGUUAUGCAGCUUAUAUACCGUCGUUCAGAGGACUAAAUAAAUAGAUCCUCUUAAAAGCUUAGGCUAAUAAAUCAGAUCAAGGUGUAGCUUAUGCCCGGGAGAGGGUGGGUUACAAUGAAAAUUCAUACGGAACUUCUAUUUUAUGAUAGAAAAGAAGGUGGAUUUAGAAGUAAGACUCAAUAUACUGAAAAAGGCUCUCAGAAAUGUACAC